rnacentral:rRNA from 1 species
AUUGAACGCUGGCGGCAUGCUUUACACAUGCAAGUCGAACGGCAGCGCGGGCUUCGGCCUGGCGGCGAGUGGCGAACGGGUGAGUAAUGCAUCGGAACGUGCCCAGUAGUGGGGGAUAGCCCGGCGAAAGCCGGAUUAAUACCGCAUACGACCUGAGGGUGAAAGCGGGGGACCGAAAGGCCUCGCGCUAUUGGAGCGGCCGAUGUCGGAUUAGCUAGUUGGUGGGGUAAAGGCUUACCAAGGCGACGAUCCGUAGCUGGUCUGAGAGGACGACCAGCCACACUGGGACUGAGACACGGCCCAGACUCCUACGGGAGGCAGCAGUGGGGAAUUUUGGACAAUGGGGGCAACCCUGAUCCAGCCAUGCCGCGUGCGGGAAGAAGGCCUUCGGGUUGUAAACCGCUUUUGUUCGGGAAGAAAUCCUCUGGGCUAAUACCCCGGGGGGAUGAAGGUACCGGAAGAAUAAGCACCGGCUAACUACGUG